rnacentral:rRNA from 1 species
GGGAUAGAAUUCCAGGAGCAGCGGUGAAAUGCGUAGAUAUCUGGAGGAAUACCAAAGGCGAAGGCAGUCCCCUGGUCCGAUACUGACACUGAGGUACGAAAGCGUGGGGAGCAAACAGGAUUAGAUACCCUGGUAGUCCACGCCCUAAACGAUGUCGAUUAGCCAUUGGAAGGACCCCUUUUCCUUUCAGUGACGUAGCUAACGCGUUAAAUCGACCGCCUGGGAAGUACGAGCGCAAGGUUAAAACUCAAAGGAAUUGACGGGGACCUGAACAAGCGGUGAAUGAUGUGGAUUAAUUCGAUGCUACGCGAAGAACCUUACCUACCUUUGACAUGGCCAAAGUUCUACCGAGAGGCGGAAGUACUCGUAAGAGGAUUGGCGCACAGGUGCUGCAUGGUUGUCGUCAGUUCGUGUCGUGAGAUGUUGGGUUCAGUCCCGCAACGAACGCAACCCUUAUCUUUAAUUGCUCCUAUUUUAACAGGCACUUUAAAGAAACUGCCAAUGAUAAGUUGGAGGAAGGUGGGGAUCACGUCAAGUCCGCAUGGCCUUUAUAGGUAGGGCUUCACACGUCAUACAAUGGUUAGAACAAAGAGCUGCAAAUUCGUAAGAAGGAGCCAAUCUCACAAACCUAACCUCAGUUCGAAUUGCGGUCUGCAACUCGAGCGCAUGAAGCCGGAAUCGCUAGUAAUCGUGGAUCAGAAUGCCACGGUGAAUACGUUCUUAGGUCUU